UGGAUACCAACAACCUUAAUUAGAAAAAUCAAAUCACAGGAAACCUCUAUCUGGGCACCACCGACUCAUCUGAUUAUCUAAAAGACUGGCAGUUUUUUCUUUCCCAGCCAGAGCCCUGGUCUUUUGAAAUUCCUAUUAUUUGUUGAAUGAAAUGUCUUUCUUUCUUCAAUGAAAUGUCUCACCCACCUGGUUGACUUUUGGUGUAGUACUCAAAUUUUUAAAAGCCAUGAAAUUUAAAAUAUGCUCUCUUUCUGAUAUUGUAGCACGCAAGCAAAUGUAAACUAUUUGAAGCAGCUGAAUGUAAACUAUUUGAAGCAGUGAAUGCUUCGUAGUUGCAAAGUUCAGCUUGGACAGCUGGUGGAACAAAGAAGACCAUACUGAGGACUCCGUGGAGAGACUAUGAAUGUUCUCUCCUGUGUCUGGCUCUCCCAGGGAGUUCACUUGCAGAAUCAAAUGAAAACCAAUCCCUUUUAUGCAAACCUUCCUGAAGCAGCAGGGCUAUGUUUGGUCCCGAGAGCGGAGGUUCGUGCAGUGGAAGCCCUGGUGGUGAUUUCUCUCUACCCAGGCCUUGCCAAGGUCCUCCCCACCACGCAGUGAUGAAAGGAAGGAUCAAACAGCCCUCUCAAAGCCAAGCUCCAUCAGACCUGCCUUUACUAAAUAUAGUGCACUUCAAUAAACACCAUUGUGAAUUUGCAGUUUGCUUGCUGGAAAAUACACCACCACCUCCAUCAAAAUUUUAUGCAUGCAUGUAUGUAUUCAGAUCUUUCUCGACUCUCUUUUAUCAACUAAAAUACUCAGCAAAUUUUCUUUUCGUUUUCAAUUUGAUAUUCAAUGUUUCUGCUCAGCACAAAUUAAUUGGAGGAAGCACUGAGUCAGGGAAAGCUGAAUGAAUAAAGUUUAACCACAAACAAGGUGGAGGUCUCUGAAAUUCUUAAAAACACCGCCUUCAGCCAGGCUGCUGAGGUCUGCUGUCCUUCAUCCGUGAAAUGACACUUCCGCUAGUCAAAUAAGGAUGGGGUAGAUCAAAUUAAGAUAAUCAUUGCU